rnacentral:rRNA from 1 species
UUGACCUCGAAUCAGGUAGGAAUACCCGCUGAACUUAAGCAUAUCAAUAAGCGGAGGAAAAGAAACCAACCGGGAUUACCUCAGUAACGGCGAGUGAAGCGGUAACAGCUCAAAUUUGAAAUCUGGCUCUUCCGGAGUCCGAGUUGUAAUUUGUAGAAGAUGCUUUGGGUUGUGGGUUCGGCCUAAGUUCCUUGGAACAGGACGUCAUAGAGGGUGAGAAUCCCGUAUGUGGCCGAGGCCCGCGCCUAUGUAAAGCUCUUUCAACGAGUCGAGUUGUUUGGGAAUGCAGCUCAAAAUGGGUGGUAAAUUUCAUCUAAAGCUAAAUAUGGGCCAGAGACCGAUAGCGCACAAGUAGAGUGAUCGAAAGAUGAAAAGCACUUUGGAAAGAGAGUUAAACAGUACGUGAAAUUGUUGAAAGGGAAGCGCUUGCAACCAGACUUGGGCGCUGCCGAUCACCUUGAGUUUUCUCGAGUGCACUCGACAGCGCACAGGCCAGCAUCGGUUCGGGUGGCUGGAUAAAGGCCGUAGGAAUGUGGCUCUCUUCGGGGAGUGUUAUAGCCUACGGUGCCAUGCAGCCCAGCCGGACCGAGGACCGCGCCUUCGGGCUAGGAUGCUGGCGUAAUGGUUGUAAGCGACCCGUCUUGAAACACGGACCAAGGAGUCUAACAUCUAUGCGAGUGUUUGGGUGGUAAACCCAUACGCGGAAUGAAAGUGAACGUAGGUGAGAACCCCUUUGGGGC